GACGAACGCUGGCGGCGUGCUUAACACAUGCAAGUCGAACGAUGAAGCCGGAGCUUGCUCUGGUGAAUUAGUGGCGAACGGGUGAGUAACACGUGAGUAACCUGCCCUUGACUCUGGGAUAACUGCGGGAAACUGUAGCUAAUACCGGAUACGACCCUCGGAGGCAUCUCCUGGGGGUGGAAAGAAUUUCGGUCAAGGAUGGACUCGCGGCCUAUCAGCUAGUUGGUGAGGUAAAGGCUCACCAAGGCGACGACGGGUAGCCGGCCUGAGAGGGUGACCCGCCACACGGGGACUGAGACACGGCACAGACUCCUACGGGAGGCAGCAGUGGGGAAUAUUGCACAAUGGGCGCAAGCCUGAUGCAGCAACGCCGCGUGAGGGAUGACGGCCUUCGGGUUGUAAACCUCUUUUAGCGGGGAAGAAGCGAAAGUGACGGCACCUGCAGAAAAAGCACCGGCUAACUACGUGCCAGCCGCCGCAGUAA
rnacentral:rRNA from 1 species